ACCAACUCAGUGAGGGAAUAAUAAUUAAUAUACAUUUUAGAUAUUCUUGAUAUUAAUAGUUCGCAAGAUCCUUUAUCUUGAUAUACAUAUACAUAUACAUACUGAACAUAUCAUAUACAUAUCGUAUACAUACUAAACAUAUCAUCAUAACGUAGUGGACUACAUGUCAGAGAUCAGAUGACACCCAAAGGUGACCAGAUGACACCCGAAGGUGACCAGACCAGAUGACACCCGAAGGUGACCACUGUGGGAUGAUCAGUCGCCACAGGCUGAUGCCUCUCUCACCAGCUAGGUUUACAGAAUACUAUGUGCACAUAGGCUAACUACUCUCCGUUAGCAUGGAGUUACUGACAAGUCCCAUAUCAAGGCAUAAUAGAUAUUCACAUAAUCAUCAAAGAAACGUAUAUCAUAUCAAAUAGAAUUUACUUUGACAGAUUGCGAGUGCAAAUUCAAGAAUAAAUGAGUACUCGGAAAAUAAGCAACAUAUAUAAUUAUUCAAGAAAUUAACGAGUUGUACUCAUUGUAUAAUCAACAUACAUAUUUACUUAUCAUAUAUGCAUAUUAAAGAUUAUCCCACUCACCCGAAAAAUAUAGAACUAAAGGAAUGUCAGACGAAAGACCCGAAAAUCCUAUUGAGGAUUGUUAGGAGAACCUACAACAAUAUGAAAAAUACUCAAAAGCAACUCAAACAAGAGAUCCCAAUGCAUAAAAUAAAAUCAGGUUUAUUCUCCUAAGUUUAUGGACUAAAACGACAAUUUUCCAAAACAGGGACCAAAACGUAAUUUUACCAAAAUUGGACCAAUCUGGAAAAUGCAUAACUAUACUGAAUUUUCACCCAUAAACCAUCCUUAAUUCUGUCUAGAACGAACCAGGGACCGAACUGUAAUUUUCAUAAAGUUCAGGGACUAAAAUGUAAAUUCCCGAAAUUGAGGGACCAAACUAAAAAUAUUCCAAAUCAAUUAUCAAACUCAGAUUCAUCAUCCUUAACCUCAUAAUAACACUGUCCAGAAUCUCAAGAUACAAUUAGGGGUCAAAUUAUAAUUUUCCCAAAGUUUAGGGACUAAACUGUAAUUUCACAAAUUGAGGGACCAAAUUGAAUUUUCGUCAUCUUCAACCUCAAACCCAGAAUUUCACAGAUUACCUACUGUCAUCUCCUGAUUUCUAACACAAUUUCACCAUUCAAAUAAAAUCAUAACUCAAAAUCAUCAUCUUUACCUCUAAUCUUUCACAAUCAACUAAUUAACCAAUUACCCACAACAAUCAACCCAUAACCUUCCAAUUAAUUCAUCAAUCAAACUCAAAACACAAUAUUCAAAACCCUAACAUUUAUCAAAACAGAACUUAAAGCUUAAAGAACACAUAUUUAUACAUAAUCUUACCUUUAAACUUAUUUCCUCCAAUUCUCUUCUCCUUUCCUUAUCUUUCCCUCUUUUCUCUUCUUCCUCCCCUUUUCUUCUCUUCUCCCGUCAGUUUUCACUCUUAAAACACAGCCCUCUUCUUCUAUUUUCUUUUCUAUUUAUAUUUAUCAACUCUUUGUUCAAUUACUACAAUACCCCUUAUUCAUUUAUACUCAUUUUUAGCCUUCAAGGGCUUUAUUGCCUUUUACCUACUCAUUAAAUUUCAAAACAUCACAAUCUCCCCACCUUAUAAAAGUUUCGUCCUCGAAACUUAAACUUUAAGAAACGAAGUCUUACCAUCAAGUUCAAACAAGAAUGGAUACUUGUUGAGCAUUUCCUCCUCAAGCUCCCACGUCGCUUCUUCACGUGGGUGUUCGCUCCACACAACCUUAACCGAUGUGAUAUCCUUCGACCGAAGUUUUCUAACUUGUCGAUCCACUAUUUUUAUUGGUUGAACUUCGUAUGUCAUAUCUUUCCUCAGCUCAACCGGUUGUACUUCCAGCACAUGAGAUGGAUCAGACAAAUACUUCCUCAACAUCGAAACAUGGAACACUGGAUGUAUAGAGGAGAGAUUAGGUGGUAAGGCAAGCCGAUAUGCCACUACCCCUACUCUUUCCAAGAUCUCAAAGGGCCCUAUAAACUUAGGACUCAACUUUCCUUUCUUCCCAAACCUGAAUAUCCCUUUAAUCGAGGAGACUUUUAGGAACACGUUGUCACCCACUGAAAAUUCUAGAUUACGCCUUCUCUUAUCCGCAUAAUUCUUUUGCCUACUCUGAGCUGUUUGAAGCUUAUCUCGGAUCACCUUAAUCUUAUCCGAAGUAAUCUGUAUUAACUCGGGACCCAUUAAUCUCCUCUCACCAACCUCAUACCAACAUACAGGUGAUCUACACUUCCGGCCAUACAAGGCCUCAUAUGGGGCCAUAUCAAUGCUCGCUUGAUAACUAUUAUUAUAUGCAAACUCCACCAAAGAUAAGUACUUGCUCCAUCCAACACCAAAGUCAAUCACAUAAGCUCUCAACAUAUCCUCUAAAAUUUGUAUAGUCCUCUCAGAUUGUCCAUCUGUCUGAGGAUGAAAAGCAGUACUUAACUGAACGUUAGUCCCCAAAGCUUCCUGAAACUUCACCCAAAACCGAGAAGUGAAUUGUGGACCUCUGUCGGACACAAUUGAGAUCGGCACACCAUGCAACCUUACGAUCUCGUUAACAUAGAUUUCUGCUAGUUUUGCAAACCCAUAUGUCACCUUUACUGGCAAGAAAUGAGCUGACUUGGUCAAACGAUCAACUAUUACCCAAACCGAAUCAUAACCCUCCUGACUCCGAGGCAAACCUGACACAAAAUCCAUAGUGAUCCUCUCCCAUUUCCAUUCAGGAAUUAACAAUGGCUGCAAAAGCCCUGGUGGUUUCUGAUGCUCACCUUUAACCCUCUGACAGGUCAAGCAUCGAGCUACAAACUCAGCAAUGUCCCUCUUCAUACCAUUCCACCAAUAACACUCUUUCAAGUCUCUAUACAUCUUGUUAGAACCAGGAUGUAUAGUAUAGGCAGUUUGAUGUGCUUCCGUCAUCACAUCUCUUUUCAAAUCAUCCACCUCAGGCACGCAUAACCUGGAACCAAAUCUCAACACACCAUCUUCAUGGAUAACAAAACCCGGAGCUCUCCCUAACUCCAACUCAUCUCGAAUCUUGCAAAGUCGCUCAUCCUUCAUUUGAGCUCCUUUAAUCCGGUCUACUAAGUCUGACUUAGCCUGAAAGUGAGCCAACAAUGCUCCCGAUUCACAAAUCUCAAAACUGACCCUCUCAUCUAACAAUCCGUGUAACUCUUUAAUCAAGGGUCUCCUCACCUCCUGAAUAUGAGCCAAACUACCCAUAGAUUUUCUGCUUAAGGCAUCGGCAACAACAGGGUGAUAUUGAAUCGUGCAAUCAUAAUCACUUAACAAUUCCAUCCACCUUCUCUGUCUCAAAUUCAGAUCCUUCUGCUGGAAGAUAUAUUGAAGACUCUUAUGAUCUGAAAAUAUCUCACAUGUCUCCCCAUACAAGUAGUGUCUCCAAAUCUUAAGGGCAAACACUACCGCAGCCAUCUCCAAAUCAUGUGUGGGGUAAUUUUGCUCGUGCUUCUUCAACUUUCUCGAGGCAUAAGCAAUCACAUUACCAUUCUGCAUCAAAACACAACCCAAACCAAUCCUGGAUGCAUCACAGUACACGGUAAAACCACCAGACCCUGAAGGUACUGUCAAAAUUGGAGCCGUAAUUAACCUUUCCUUCAACUCCAGGAAACUCUUCUCACAUUCUUCUGACCAUUGAAACUUGACACUUUUCUGUGUCAACUUCGUCAACGGAGCAGCGAUUCGGGAAAAAUUCUCCACGAAUCUCCUGUAGUAUCCUGCUAAACCCAGGAAACUCCUAAUCUCAGAUACCGUAACUGGUCUAGGCCACUGCUUAACUGCCUCCACUUUCUGUGGAUCAACCUCUAUCCCAUUUUUAGACACCACAUGUCCCAAAAACCCAAUACUCUCUAACCAAAACUCACUCUUCGAGAACUUUCCAUACAACUGAUGAUCUCGCAGAGUUUGAAGCACCAUUCUCAAAUGCUGCUCAUGCUCUUCUCUAGACCUCGAAUACACCAAAAUGUCAUCAAUGAACACAAUAACAAACUUAUCAAUAAACGGCCUAAAAACCCUGUUCAUCAUGUCCAUAAAAGCUGCAGGUGCAUUCGUUAACCCAAAAGACAACACUAGGAACUCGUAAUGCCCAUAACGAGUCCUAAAGGCAGUUUUAGGAAUAUCCUCAUUCCUAAUCCUCAACUGGUGAUACCCCGAUCGCAAAUCAAUCUUUGAGAAACAUUGAGCUCCUUGUAAUUGAUCAAAAAGAUCAUCAAUGCGAGGAAGUGGGUAUCUAUUCUUAACAGUGACCUUGUUCAACUGUCUAUAGUCUAUACACAUCCUCAUUGAUCCAUCCUUCUUCUUUACAAAUAAAACAGGUGCUCCCCACGGAGACACACUUGGACGAAUAAACCCCUUAUCUAACAAAUCUUGAAUCUGCUCCUUCAACUCUUUUAAUUCUGCUGGCGCCAUCCUGUAAGGUGCCAUAGAGAUUGGUUUUGUUCCUGAAACUAGAUCAAUACAGAACUCGAUUUCCCUAUUGGGAGGUAGUCCAGGUAAGUCAUCGGGAAAAACAUCGAUGAAUUCCUUAACUAUCGAAACUUGUUCCAUCCUCGGGACCUUCAUGUUCACAUCAUGCACAUAAGCCAAAAACCCUUGCAUACCCUUUCGUACCAUCCUUCUCGUGAUGGCCGAGAGAAUACUAGAUGGAGAUGAUAACCCAUCUCCAUGAAAAGCAAACUCCGUCUCCUCAUCAGGCUUGAAAAUCACUGUCUUAUUCCAACAAUCAACUGAGGCAUGGUGCCUUGAUAACCAAUUCAUACCUAGUAUCACAUCAAAACCUACUAUUUCUAAAAUUACCAAAUCGCCUAAUAGGUUUCUACCUUGCACUUGAACCUCACAAUCAACAUAAACAUAUUCCCCAAACAUAACGUCAUCCGAAGGGAUAGCUACACACAAAGGACUCUCUAACAAAAUAGGUUGUUUAGUAAACCUUAAAGCAAAAUAUGACGACACGAAAGAAUGAGUUGCCCCCGUGUCAAAUAACACUCUAGCCUCGAAGGAACAUAUUAAGAGUGUACCUGAGACAACAGUAUUGGAUGUCUGGGCAUCCUGCUGAGUAAUGGCAAAAACUCGUGCCUGUCUCUGACUUGUUGGCGCAAAACCUCUACCGCCUACUCCACGGCCCCGCUGGCCACGCCCACCAGCUCCACGACCACCCUGAAACACAGAAUGGCUAGCUGACUGAGUCUGAGUGGAAGAUGUAAUCGGUACAGAAGCACCAGGCUUGGACCACCGUUUGUUCGGACAAUCCCUUAACAAGUGAUCAGUCUGCCCGCAACCGAAACAAGCUCCUGUCUGCCUAUAACAGACUGUGCCAUAAUGCCUAGACCCACAAGACUGACAUUGAGGCCUCCCAUCUGAACCUUGUGGUGUUAACUGAACAGUACCUCGGCUCUGAGUCGGACCAGCUCCACUCAUGCUAUGUCUAUUGUUUCCUCUGAUAAUGGACCUCGACAAGAAAUUCCUUGACUGACUUAAUUGGCCCUGUCGGCCCCCAUGUCCCCUGCUAGGACCUGUAUCAGACCGCUGCUGAAAAGAGAACUGAUUUGCCACUUUGGGCCUCUUAACCGAACCCACUGAUAAUUCAUCCUCUAACUCUCGUGCCUCAAUAGCUCGGGCACGAUCCACUAUGGCCGAGUACGUCUUAAACUCAUGAGCCCCAAUAGCUUUGAAUAAGUAGCUAUUAAGACCUCGAACAAACCUCUUAAUCUUCCUCUCCUCAGUCGGUACCAAAUACCCGGCAAAUCUGGACAACCGUGUGAAUUCCACUUCAUACUCUGUCACACUCAAGUCACCCUGAACCAACUUUUCAAACUCAUAUGAUCUGGCUUCCCUCACACUUUCAGGUAGAAAACGUUCCAAAAACAUCUCAGAAAAUUCCUUCCACUCCAUCGGUGGCGAACUAACUGCCCUUUCACCCCUCUGAUAAUGGACCUCGACAAGAAAUUCCUUGACUGACUUAAUUGGCCCUGCCGGCCCCCAUGUCCCCUGCUAGGACCUGUAUCAGACCGCUGCUGAAAAGAGAACUGAUUUGCCACUUUGGGCCUCUUAACCGAACCCACUGAUAAUUCAUCCUCUAACUCUCGUGCCUCAAUAGCUCGGGCACGAUCCACUAUGGCUGAGUACGUCUUAAACUCAUGAGCCCCAAUAGCUUUGAAUAAGUAGCUAUUAAGACCUCGAACAAACCUCUUAAUCUUCCUCUCCUCAGUCGGUACCAAAUACCCAGCAAAUCUGGACAAUCGUGUGAAUUCCACUUCAUACUCUGUCACACUCAAGUCACCCUGAACCAACUUUUCAAACUCAUAUGAUCUGGCUUCCCUUACACUUUCAGGUAGAAAACGUUCCAAAAACAUCUCAGAAAAUUCCUUCCACUCCAUCGGUGGUGAACUAACUGCCCUUUCACCCCUCUUGGACUCAUACCAGUUCACAGCCACCUCUCCUUCUAGCCUGAAAGAUGCCAAAGUCACUGCACGAUGAUCCGUGCACCCCAUGGCCUCACACCUACGCCACACUGCAUCUAAAAACUGUUGUGGGUCCUCAGAGUUAUCAACACCCUUAAAAGUAGGAGGUGCCAGCUUAAGGAACUCUGACAAUGGUACUUUCACCCCAUGCACGGUAUGGGAAGUCGAAGAUGCAUUCUUAUCCUUCUCCUUCUCUCUCUCAGUUAAAAGGUCAGCCAGGGUCUGCAUGGCCUGUCCAAUCUUAUCCAAAGCACUGUCAGUAUAAGACACCCUAUCAUGGGAUUCCUGCUCCUGAUUCUUACCAACAUCCAGACCAUAGUCUCCCUCAAACUCCACCUCAUCCUGAACUUCUGCUUCCAUUGGUUGAGGCGAAGGGGUUCUAACCCUCUUUUUGCGCCUCUCCUUCCUAAGCUGAGCGAUAGGAAUGUCCUCUUGAUCAUUACCGACAUAUUCGGCAUUAACUACAUGCUUAGCUCUCGGCAUAUUUCCUAAAAGAAUGCAUUUACAUAUAUGUAUCAACAUAACUAUAAAGGAGUUUUAAGGAGGACACACCAAACACUAGAUUGGAGAAUUAUAAGAGGACUGACAUCAAGACAAGAUAGAUCCUAAGCUCCACAUAUUACGAGGGUUUUGAAAAAUAAAAAUGAAUAAAAUAGAUUACGAGGUUUUAAUAAAAACCGGGCUCUGAUACCACCUUUGUCACGACCCGAAUCCCGGGUCCAUGACCGGCAACGCAGGAGCGGUGCCGGAAGGACACCCCGCCCGCGCUAAGCCUCAAAACGGACAUAUCAAAAGAAUAAUUUAUUCAAAAAUACGCAGCAUUUCAUAAUCUUCAGAAAUCUUAUAUUAUUCAAAACUGAUGAAACCAAAAGAUAGUUUAAAACUCCUCAUCAGUAAUUAAAACAAAAACAAUAAUCCAUAAUACUCAUUACAUUGUCAAAAUCCAAACUUAAUCAAAACAAGGUAAUAGUGGAGCGCCUAAGACAUCGAAUCAAACAGCCUUGAAAGAUAAGCAAGGCAUACCGACUCAAAACUGAAGAAGCAGGAACACUCAACAAGGUUCACCUGCUAUCAGAAACUAAGAACCUGAAAUAAUAUUAAGAAUGAGGGGUGAGUUCAACCAACUCAGUGAGGGAAUAAUAAUUAAUAUACAUUUUAGAUAUUCUUGAUAUUUAUAGUUCGCAAGAUCAUUUAUCUUGAUAUACAUAUACAUAUACAUACUAAACUUAUCAUAUACAUAUCAUAUACAUACUAAACGUAUCAUCAUAACGUAGUGGACUAUAUGUCAGAGAUCAGAUAACACCCGAAGGUGACCAGAUGACACCCGAAGGUGACCAGACCAGAUGACACCCGAAGGUGACCACUGUGGGAUGAUCAGUCGCCACAGGCUGAUGCCUCUCUCACCAGCUAGGUAUACAUACAGAAUACUAUGUGCACACAGGCUAACUACUCUCCGUUAGCAUGGAGUUACUGACAAGUCCCAUAUCAAGGCAUAAUAGAUAUUCACAUAAUCAUCAAAGAAACGUAUAUCAUAUCAAAUAGGAUUUACUUUGACAGAUUGCGAGUGCAAAUUCAAGAAUAAAUGAGUACUCGGAAAAUAAGCAACAUAUAUAAUUAUUCAAGGAAUUAACGAGUUGUACUCAUUGUAUAAUCAACAUACAUAUUUACUUAUCAUAUAUGCAUAUUAAAGAUUAUUCCACUCACCCGGAAAAUAUAGAACUAAAAGGAAUGUCAGACGAAAGACCCGAAAAUCCUAUUGAGGAUCGUUAGGAGAACCUACAACAAUAUGAAAAUAUACUCAAAAGCAACUCAAACAAGAGAUCCCAAUGCAUAAAAUAAAACUAGGUUUAGUCUCCUAAGUUUAUGGACUAAAACGAUAAUUUUCCAAAACAGGGACCAAAACGUAAUUUUACCAAAAUUGGACCAAUCUGGAAAAUACAUAACUAUACUGAAUUUUCACCCAUAAACCAUCCUUAAUUCUGUCUAGAACGAACCAGGGACCGAACUGUAAUUUUCAUAAAGUUCAGGGACUAAAAUGUAAAUUCCCAAAAUUGAGGGACCAAACUGAAAAUAUUCCAAAUCAAUUAUCAAACUCAGAUUCAUCAUCCUUAACCUCAUAAUAACACUGUCCAGAAUCUCAAAAUACAAUUAGGGGUCAAAUUAUAAUUUUCCCAAAGUUUAGGGACUAAACUGUAAUUUCACAAAUUGAGGGACCAAAUUGAAUUUUCGUCAUCUUCAACCUCAAACCCAGAAUUUUACAGAUUACCUACUGUCAUCACCUGAUUUCUAACAUAAUUUCACCAUUCAAAUAAAAUCAUAACUCAAAAUCAUCAUAUUUACCUCCAAUCUCUCACAAUCAACUAAUUAACCAAUUACUCACAACAAUCAACCCAUAACCUUCCAAUUAAUUCAUCAAUCAAACUCAAAACACAAUAUUCAAAACCCUAAAAUUUAUCAAAACAGAAAUUAAGGCUUAAAGAACACACAUUUAUACAUAAUCUUACCUUUAAACUUAUUUCCUCCAACUCCUUUCCUUUUUCCCUUAUUUUCCCCUCUUUUCUCUUCUUCUUCUUUCUCCCUUCUCUCUCACGGUUUGCUCUCUCAAAUAUUCAGAUCUCUUCUUCUUUUUUUUUCUUUCUAUUUAUACUUAUCAUCUUUUUAUACAAUUACUACAAUACCCUUCAUUUAAUUAUACCAACUUUUAAGCCUCCAAGGGCUUUAUUGCCUUUUACCUACUCAUUAAAUU
rnacentral:lncRNA from 1 species